UAGGGAAUCUUCCGCAAUGGACGAAAGUCUGACGGAGCAACGCCGCGUGAGUGAAGAAGGAUUUCGGUUCGUAAAACUCUGUUGUUAGGGAAGAAAAAAUGUAUAGUAACUAUAUACAAAAGAGACGGUACCUAACCAGAAAGCCACGGCUAACUACGUGCCAGCAGCCGCGGUAAUACGUAGGUGGCAAGCGUUGUCCGGAAUUAUUGGGCGUAAAGCGCGCGCAGGUGGUUUAGAAAGUCUGAUGUGAAAGCCCACGGCUCAACCGUGGAGGGUCAUUUGAAACUAAUAAACUUGAGUGCAGGAAAGGAAAGUGGAAUUCCUAGUGUAGCGGUGAAAUGCGUAGGGAUUAGGAGGGACACCGGUGGCGAAAGCGGCUUUUUGGCCUGCAACUGACACUGAGGCGCGAAAGCGUGGGGAGCAAACAGG
rnacentral:rRNA from 1 species